GCUGGGUGUGAUAGUUUAUGCCUAUAAUCCCAGCAGCUUGGGAGGCUGAGGCAGGAGGAUCACGAGUUCAAAGCCAGCCUCAGCAAUUUAUCAAGGCCCUAAACAACUUAGCGAGACCCUGUCUCAA
rnacentral:sRNA from 1 species